rnacentral:rRNA from 1 species
CAGCCGUAAACUAUGCGCGUUAGGUGUAUCGGUGACCACGAGUUACCGAGGUGCCGAAGGGAAACCGUGAAACGUGCCGCCUGGGAAGUACGGUCGCAAGGCUGAAACUUAAAGGAAUUGGCGGGGGAGCACCACAACAGGUGGAGCCUGCGGUUUAAUUGGACUCAACGCCGGGAAGCUCACCGGAUAGGACAGCAAUAUGAAGGCCAGGCUGAAGACUUUGCCGGAUUAGCUGAGAGGAGGUGCAUGGCGUCAGUGACU